rnacentral:rRNA from 1 species
GACGAACGCUGGCGGCGUGCUUAACACAUGCAAGUCGAGCGGUAAGGCCCUUUCGGGGGUACACGAGCGGCGAACGGGUGAGUAACACGUGGGUGACCUGCCCUCAGCUCUGGGAUAAGCCUGGGAAACCGGGUCUAAUACCGGAUAUGACUCCAUGACGCAUGUUGUGGGGUGGAAAGCCUUGUGCGGCUGAGGAUGGGCCCGCGGCCUAUCAGCUUGUUGGUGGGGUGANGGCCUACCAAGGCGACGACGGGUAGCCGGCCUGAGAGGGCGACCGGCCACACUGGGACUGAGACACGGCCCAGACUCCUACGGGAGGCAGCAGUGGGGAAUAUUGGACAAUGGGGGCAACCCUGAUCCAGCCAUGCCGCGUGAGUGAUGAAGGCCU